GGGUAUAGUUCAGCUGGUAGAGCGUUGGUCUCCAAAACCAAAUGUCGUGGGUUCAAAUCCUACUGCCC
rnacentral:tRNA from 1 species